UGCCAGCAGCCGCGGUAAGACGGAGGGUGCAAACGUUGUUCGGAAUCACUGGGCAUAAAGCGCACGUAGGCGGCUUGGUCAGUCCGUUGUGAAAGCCCCCGGCUCAACCGGGGAACUGCAAUGGAUACUGCUUGGCUCGAGGACGGUUGGGGUGAGUGGAACUCCUGGUGGAGCGGUGAAAUGCGUAGAUAUCAGGAGGAACACCAGUGGCGAAAGCGGCUCACUGGACCGUAUCUGACGCUGAGGUGCGAAAGCUAGGGUAGCGAACGGGAUUAGAUA
rnacentral:rRNA from 1 species